AUUGAACGCUGGCGGCAUGCCUUACACAUGCAAGUCGAACGGCAGCGGACCUUCGGGUGCCGGCGAGUGGCGAACAGGUGAGUAAUAUAUCGGAACGUACCUUUCAGUGGGGGGAUAACGUAGCGAAAGUUACGCUAAUACCGCAUAUUCUGUGAGCAGGAAAGCAGGGGAUCGCAAGACCUUGCGCUGAUUGAGCGGCCGAUAUCAGAUUAGCUAGUUGGUGAGGUAAAGGCUCACCAAGGCGACGAUCUGUAGCGGGUCUGAGAGGAUGAUCCGCCACACUGGAACUGAGACACGGUCCAGACUCCUACGGGAGGCAGCAGUGGGGAAUUUUGGACAAUGGGCGCAAGCCUGAUCCAGCCAUGCCGCGUGAGUGAAGAAGGCCUGG
rnacentral:rRNA from 1 species